rnacentral:rRNA from 1 species
GAUGAACGCUGGCGGCGUGCCUAAUACAUGCAAGUCGAGCGAACAGACGAGGUGCUUGCUCCUCUGACGUUAGCGGCGGACGGGUGAGUAACACGUGGAUAACCUACCUAUAAGACUGGGAUAACUUCGGGAAACCGGAGCUAAUACCGGAUAAUAUAUUGAACCGCAUGGUUCAAUAGUGAAAGACGGUUUUGCUGUCACUUAUUGAUGGAUCCGCGCCGCAUUAGCUAGUUGGUAAGGUAACGGCUUACCAAGGCAACGAUGCGUAGCCGACCUGAGAGGGUGAUCGGCCACACUGGAACUGAGACACGGUCCAGACUCCUACGGGAGGCAGCAGUAGGGAAUCUUCCGCAAUGGGCGAAAGCCUGACGGAGCAACGCCGCGUGAGUGAUGAAGGUCUUCGGAUCGUAAAACUCUGUUAUUAGGGAAGAACAAAUGUGUAAGUAACUAUGCACGUCUUGACGGUACCUAAUCAGAAAGCCACGGCUAACUACGUG